CUUCCGUGAGGAUGAGAUGACGAGUCUGAAAGGGAACAUCCCUGUCCAAGUGCCCUCCUUCAUGUUGUGUCCUAUAGCAUGGAUCUGGGGACCUUGGGUCAUCAUUUGAGUGACGUAGAGGCAUUUGUCUGAGAAGG
rnacentral:snoRNA from 1 species